GAAGUUCAACGGCGUGAGCAGAUAAGAAACAGAACUGAAAACAAGAAGAUCAACCCUGCUCGUUGCUUUAAAGAGGUACAUAAUCCUUUUUACUUCGGUCAUGUAAAGGCUACACGCCUGAGCUCGUACAUAUGAAAUAAUGGAAAGAAAGUUGAAGAUAUUAAGUCAGCUAUUAAAAACCGAGCUCAGAGUGAAGACCUAAUGAGGUUGAAAUCUAUAAAAAAGUACAGCUUGAAGAUCUUAGCCUUAAGGCAAAUCCAGCUCGGCGAAAAUUUACAGAUAAGAAUGCCCUU
rnacentral:lncRNA from 1 species